UUGUGGAGGAGGACGCCGAAGGUGGGGCUAAUGACUGGGGUGAAGUCGUAACAAGGUAGCCGUACCGGAAGGUGCGGCUGGAUCACCUCCUAACAGGGAGACAACAAAAUGUAAAUAUUAAUUUUGUCACCUUAGGUCGAUCGGUAUCUCAGAUUCUUAUUUUUAAGAAUUUCAGUUUCUAAGUUUUUUCUAGGUCACACCCAUUACUUUUUCCUGGGCCAUUAGCUCAGGUGGUUAGAGCGCACCCCUGAUAAGGGUGAGGUCCCUGGUUCAAGUCCAGGAUGGCCCAUAUCUCUAUGUUGGGGGUAUAGCUCAGUUGGUAGAGCGCCUGCUUUGCAAGCAGGAUGUCAGCGGUUCGAGUCCGCUUACCUCCACUGAAUACCACCUCUUACAUAUUUUUAAAGGGGAAAAUUGUUUUGAGUUGUGUCCUAAUUUGCUCUGAGUGAAUCUAGCUUCCUAUUUUUUUUUUUUAAUAAGAUGCUGGACUCAUUGAAUUUUAUUCAUUGUUUUCAGAGAACCUUGACAACUGCAUAGAUUAUUUUGAAGACAAUAAGCAUCUUUAAUGAUGCAGAUUUAUUAUUUGUGCUUAUGCAUUAAAUAACAAUUCUAUUAAGCUGAUGCUUCAAUUAUUGAAGUUAUGGUCAAGCUACAA
rnacentral:misc_RNA from 1 species